CGAUGACUUGUUAUUACCUUCCCACUCUCAUCAGACGCACCACGGGUCUCCUAUGAAGAUAGCGUAUCAUUCUUGAAAAUCACUAUUGAAAAUUAAAAGUGCCUCGUUGUUUUGGUAAGGAACAGGACUGUUAAUUGGAUGCACUAAAGAUGUCACCUGAAUUAGUUA